CUGCCCACUUGUGUCCUUCCCUCUGAUCAUUGCCAUAGCAUUUUUUUUUAUUUUUUAUUUUUUGCCUAACAUCUUUUCUAUUUUUAUUGGGUUGUAGAAGGUUGUACCUAACUAUUAUAUACAAAUGGAGUUACAUUUGGUUACUGACAUAUACAUAAUGUAGGAAGCAUUGCAGAGAAUUUCUGUUUUUAGUUUCUUUUUUCUUUAAUUUCCUCUUUUAAGAAUUUCUUUAAUAAAUAUUUAAUUUGCUUUAGUUUUUGAAAGUUUGAUUAUGAUGUAUUCUCAGUGCCACAUGUUCCCUUUUUUUAUUUGGGUGCGUAAUUUCUUCAAGAUUCUUCUUCCAGCGUGGUUUGGAAUUAAAAAGGGUGUAACUGGUUAUUUUGCAAUCCAAUGAGCGUUGGAUGUUUCUCUGUAUUUUAAGUGGAUUUUUGGUUCUAUUUAUAGUACCACUAAAUUGCAAUAUUAAUAUAAAUUAAUCAGAACAGCAUUAUUCUCCUGGUCAUUCAAGGAUAAUUUUAGUUAAUACGCCCUUGUUUUAUUGGCUUGUGUUUUUUAAUGGUGCAUGUUUGAAUUUUGUUGCAGUCAAUAUCCUAAAUUAAACUUUGAAUUUAUUUUCGUAUCUUUCUUCAUUGUUAAUGAGAUAGGAAAUCAAUGAUAAUCUUGCUGCGCACUGAAAUAUUCUAAAUGCUCUGAUUUACAGUUGCUUCUGCUCUAACAGCGUCUACUUUGUUUGUAAUUCAUGUUGUCAAGCAGCAACGAUUAAUUUCCCUUUUGGUUUAUUGCAGGACGUCAUUUGGUAAGUUGGAAAGAUGUCUCCAUCUUCCAGAUCGAAGAGCAAGUCCAAGGACAAGGCAUCUGCAAGGGCUUCCAAGGAACAGCAGAAGGCAUCUACCAAGCCUUCUGGAUCUACCAAUACAGCGAGUGCUAAUCCAGCAAGUGCGUACAAUCCAAUCUCUGGGACAUUUCAUAACUUAGAGAUACCAUCAGCUGCCUCUUCCCACCCUUUCCAUGAUAUUGGCCGUUUCAAAAAUAUAGAUGACACAGAUGAGCAUUCCAGUAGCCCCCGUGGAACCGUAUCUGAAUGUGAUUCGGUUUCAAACAAUGGGAGUUGCUCUGGUGAGUCUGAAGAUCCAAAAGAGAAGACAGCCAAUUCUGCCCGGCAAGAAACUGUACCUGGUUUAGACAAUGACAGGAGAGAGAAGAUUCGACUGAAGAAUGAGAAGAAGCACCAGCGACAAAGGGAGAGGCGGGCACAAGAGUUGCAUGAGCGUUGCAGUGGGUAUCUGAUGUCAAGAAAACUGGAAGACCUUUCACAGCAGCUUGUGGCAAUGGGUUUUUCUCGUGAGCGGGCAACCUUGGCCCUUGUGUUGAAUGAGGGCAAGGUAGAAGAAUCAGUAAACUGGCUUUUUGAGGCAAGUGAAGAUGAAGCUCAUAGCAAGGACAUUAAACUAGGAAGCGCUUGUAACUUGAAAAUUGAUAUUAGGGAGGAGCUUGCUCAGAUCUUAGCAAUGGAGGUGAGGUACAAAUUCUCAAAGCAGGAGGUUGAAAGAGCAGUUGUUGCUUGUGAAGGUGAUCUUGAGAAGGCAGAAGAGAUCUUACAAACACAAAAGCAGGAAUCACCUGCUACUACACUAACUCCAGAAGAGACUACUGAUGCCAAUCAUCUAAAGAGAACACAAGAAAAGCCCAUGCUGUCAGCUUCGGUUGCAAUACAAAAGAGAAGAAAUGAGCGAGAUUUUAACCAUGCCAAAACUGCAAUAGAAGUGCCAAUGUAUUCAGAUCCUGGGAGCAGAAACAUGCAGUCUGUGAACCAACCCAAGUCACUUGCUGAGAAGAGGUGGUCCACAUCAGGAUCAAGUCCAUCAUCGUCAUUAGCUAGGGCAUCAGCUAUGCAAGUGACACUUCCAUCAUCAAAAUUGGAGGUCAGGCUUGGUGUUUCUGGAAAUGAAGGGAAAAAUCAUCAGCAAACACUGAGGGAACCAGUAGUUAUGAUGCAGCGUCCCCAAUCUAUAAAUGCCAAGCAAAAUCAAUUGCCUAGUGUAAGUGCCUCACCUUCUGCAACAACUGGAUGGUAUUCAAGUAUUGCAUCAGGUGUUGAAAGUGUAAGGUCAUUACUUCCAAAUCAGAGCACUGGAAGUCUUGGUUUGGUAAAUCAGAAUACAGAGCAAUUCUACCAUCCUGCUUCAUAUAAAGAAAGCCCAUUCCUGUUUGAUGGUCCUAUUGAUUCCACAUCUGAAGGUUUGGGAGGUUCAUGGGGCACAAUGUGCAAAUCUCCUUCUUUUGCAGCUCCAUACGAGCCUCAGGGUUCGUUUGGUACAAUGAAUGCAUCUUCACCAUCACUUGCAGCUCCAUCAUCACUUGGUCUAUUUUCUGGUUGGGGCUCAGCAGGAACUUUAGGUUCAUCAUCACAUGUGGAUUGGAAUACUGGAGGCUUGAUGCCAGAGUUUGACUAUACCAGUAUAGAUUGGACUUUGGAUUCAAAUCUGUCAUCCUCCAAACUGGGUGGGUUGUGGUUGGGGCUUUCUUCAUUAUUGAGGAACAGUACUGGCACGAGCAUGAAUGGUAUGAAUAGUAACUGCAUAUCAGGGUUGCGGGAUGGUGGGGCAACUAAAGAAUCGUCAUCUUCUGCUAGUUUGCAUGAGUGGACGUCUCCUUUUGCUGGGAAGGACAUAUUUAGUUUGCCUAGGCAAUUUGUUACUUCUCCAUCUCCUUAGGACCAGGGAUAGGACUUUGGAAUAGGGGAAGGAAUGGAGGUAAUGAGGCUGGUAGUGGGUGUCUGGAUGCAGUUUGAUGGUUAUGUUUCUGGUUUUUCAGUCGUAAAUGCAUCUAAUAGUUUCGGGCUGUCAUUGCUUUUCUUUUCUUUUAUUUGCAUUGGUUCAUUUAGUUUUUGCGUAUGUUCUGUUACUUGUCAUGCUUCCAGGCUUCAACCAGCGAAGUUGCAUGUAAGGGGUCCAAGGGAGUCUAUCAAUCAGAUUAAAUCACAUGUUAUCUUAAGAUUGAAUUAAUUAUUAGGGGCAUCAAACAUUAAUUCUUUGUUAUUCUAAAG
rnacentral:misc_RNA from 1 species